rnacentral:miRNA from 8 species
CGAGGGUUAAAUGUUUUGGUAU